rnacentral:ncRNA from 1 species
GACACGAGGGCAGCGAUGACCCGCCGGGCGAUCUGUGGUCGCCAUGUGCCCGGCGUCGAGCAGUGGCGCGCCCGGGCCGUCAGAUC